GUGACAUUAGGUAUAUGUUAUUAUUAAACAUGUAUUUGGUAACUGGACAUCAAGUUUAGCACCCCAUUAUUCAGUCUUUUUUCUUUAUUUGUUUUUUGCACAUUUCUUUCUUUCGUUUUUUUUUUUUUGGGGGGGGGAGCAUUUUCUAUUCUGACAAUCACCUUGUAUAUCUUGGGUAAUUUAAAAAAAAAGAUCUAAAUUCAAGCGGGAUAUAUAGUGCACAAUACUACUAGUGUAGGAGUAUCUACAAUGAGUGUUUAAUUGGUCGCUUUUUUGUGGUCUCCUUUAAAAUUUGGUAAGAUUCAUAUGCUUCAACCAACUAACAAAGAUGGGGUUAUAUCAACUUUAAUUUUCGAUUUUCAUAUGCUAUCACUGAAUUAUAAGACACAUUUUGAUUUUAAAGAUUAAAUUAUGGUGAAUGCUACUCAGUAGUUUUUUUCAAUUUUCAAAGAAAAUGCUACGGCCAUAUUUGGAAUACUUCUA
rnacentral:lncRNA from 1 species